GGGACGCUAGCUCAGUUGGGAGAGCGCUGCCUUCACACGGCAGAGGUCACUGGUUCGAGCCCAGUGCGUCCCACCA
rnacentral:tRNA from 1 species